AUGGGUGAGCCACCUUGGUGGCUCACUUGUGUCUACGGCGAGCCCCGAACGGAGGAUCGGCAUCGCAUGUGGUCCAUCCUCCGUGAUCUGCACCGACAAGCCAACAUGCCAUGGGCAGUGGUUGGCGACUUCAAUGAGGCCAUGUGGGGCUUCGAACACUUUUCUGCAACACCAAGAUCGGCAGGUCAGAUGAUCGACUUUCGUGAUGUGCUUGAAGUAUGUGGCUUGGUUGAUCUUGGUUUUGCAGGGCUCCCAUAUACAUAUGACAAUCGGCGUGGUGGCCGGGCGAAUGUCAGGGUCCGCCUAGACCGGGCCGUGGCAAAUAACUCCUGGCGAGAUUUGUUCACACAUGCGAAGGUGGAGCACCUGGUGGCUCCUAGUUCGGACCACCUACCAAUUCUGCUACGUUGCUCGAAAGAGGAGCCAAGGCAGGAUCAAGGGAGGAGGUGUCGCCAGUAUGAGGUUAUGUGA
rnacentral:rRNA from 1 species